rnacentral:rRNA from 1 species
AGUGAACGCUGGCGGUAGGCCUAACACAUGCAAGUCGAACGGCAGCACAGUAAGAGCUUGCUCUUACGGGUGGCGAGUGGCGGACGGGUGAGGAAUACAUCGGAAUCUACUUUUUCGUGGGGGAUAACGUAGGGAAACUUACGCUAAUACCGCAUACGACCUACGGGUGAAAGCAGGGGAUCUUCGGACCUUGCGCGAUUGAAUGAGCCGAUGUCGGAUUAGCUAGUUGGCGGGGUAAAGGCCCACCAAGGCGACGAUCCGUAGCGGGUCUGAGAGGAUGAUCAGCCACACUGGAACUGAGAAACGGUCCAGACUCCUACGGGAGGCAGCAGUGGGGAAUAUUGGGCAAUGGGCGCAAGCCUGAUCCAGCCAUACCGCGUGGGUGAAGAAGGCCUUCGGGUUGUAAAGCCCUUUUGUUGGGAAAGAAAAGCAGCAGGUUAAUACCCCGCUGUUCUGACGGUACCCAAAGAAUAAGCACCGGCUAACUUCGUG